GGCGGCUACAGCGGAUCUUGAACCAACCGUGGGCCUGGGGAGUUUAUCUCCAGCUACUGCCGGCUGCAGCGGCCUGAGUACUAAGCGCAGGGCCCACCUCCUUAAAAAUCACCCGGCGACAACCUCUGUCGAUCAUCCAAGAAGACACUGAAUGACCUGGACACUCACAAUCCACAGCUGUUCCUGACCUGACUACUACAAGACCUCUGGACCAGUGUCCUGGCAGGAACCUCCUUCAAAGACCUGACCACACUAGUGUCUCAACUGUGGCUUAAGGGAACCUUCUACAACCUAACUCCAGACGAAAUUUAUUUCUUUACUCUCAUCCUCUACAUCCUGAUUCGUCUUCCCCAGAUUCAAGCUACCACGAAUUUGGGGCCUUCCACCUCUCGCCGGAUUGGCCUCUCCCCAUCUCUCUAGCCAUAACUGUACUCUUAACCUUAGCCCUUGCAAUAGGCCUAACAACUGUCUCCCCUCUAAACUGGUCACCCAUCCUCCGUCUCUUCGUCGGUGCCGCCUAUGCUGUCAGCUACUGUAUUUUACUCCUCGGAUUCUAUUUCCUCCACAUUGUCUGACUACCAGACCCAUGACUCCCCUGUUUCUUAUCCUUGCUAUGAUCCCCAGCCUUCUGGCUAGUUCCUGCCCUUGCAAUGAAAUUCAUUCCUAUGUCCAUUCCUCAUGUUAUAACACGGCCCCUAAACCAUGCACCAUGAACAUCGGGGCGGGAAAGUCCAAAUCCCUACUCACUGUUAAAGUACAGAAGACAGGGAGUGCCGUGAACAACUGCUAUAAGCCAAAUGGAAAAGACAUAUGUUUCUAUCCCACUACCCACUGGGGGUACUCAGAUGGGGGAGGGGCACAAGAUCAACAGCGUAAAAAGAACCAAGAACAGGUUAUAAGAAAACUAAUCUCCCAAUCGGGCAACCCCUGAGCCCGAUAGACGCCCAGACUACCUUUCCCAAUUACGGCCCCUCCUAAAUCCUUCUGACAACUGACACCUUAUCCUCCUUAACUCAUCCCAGUUCUUCUAGAACACUCACUACACAUCCCAGUGCUGGGUACUCAUGUCUUCCCCCCAACCCUUGGACCUUGCAUCUUGGUCUUUCUGACCCCAGGUCUUAGCAUCUAAAAGACAGAGAGAACAAGUUGCUGAUCCCCAGGUGAGACACUGCCACAGGAAAAAACGGGCUGUCAUGGCCCACCUCCUGAUUGGGACUGGCAUAGCAGCAGCUCUGGGCACUGGGAUUGGGGGCAUCUCGACCUCAGCCCAUUUCUACUGCAAACUGUCCCAGGAACUUAGGAAUAUGCAACAGGUGGUGGAGUCCUUUGUUGCAGUCCAAAGGCAAAUUAACUCAUUGGUUUCUGUGGCCCUACAAAAUAGACGAGCCCUGGACCUUCUCACCAUAGAAAAGGGACGGAUCUGCCUUUUCCUGGGAGAAGACUACUGCUCUUUUGUUAACGAAACAGGCAUAGUCCAGGGUAGGGUCAGAGAACUUAGAGACAGAAUCAAAAGGCCACAAAAAAGAGUUACAAAAGCUUUCCACUCCCAGAAGCGUGUUCCAACUGGCCUUCCCUUGGUUGCUCCCUUUCUUGGAACCAUUAGUACUUAUUAUCUUACUCCUCUUAUUUGGCCCCUGUUUCUUCAAUCUCUUUCAAAGGUUUCUCCAAGACCAGAUUCGGGCCAUCUCUCAAGACCAAGUCAAAGACCAUUCUUGUUGAGAGCCUCACCUUAAUGUCGGCAAAAGGAAACCCUCAGCCCUAGAAAGAUCCUCUGUUCCAGACCCUAAAACCAUCGCCCCUAUCCAGCAGGAAGUAGCCAGAGAGAUACGGCGCCCUUUUCCCAUCCUUUUAUGACUUCAGGGUCUGUAAUGGAGGCCUCAGGCCUAGAAAAAGAAGAUAACUACCUCAAGGGCCCUUGCUGGACCACGUGACCUUAGGGAAAACAAAACUGAACUUUGCCCCACUCCAGUACUCCAGGCAGAUUGCAUCAGCCUGGAACUUUCCGCCCUCUGCUCAACUGCAAAUGCCAUCUCAGGUUGAAAACUACAGGUACAAGCCGUUGAAGCCAGAAUGCUCUCUGAUGCUGGUAUUUUAACUGACCUACACCAACUACAUCACUCUGCAGUGUACAACACCCAAGUGUGUCUAAUGAGGCCAGCUGUUCUCACAUAACUUGUAGCAGCUAUGGAUCUGCACUGGCAUAGGAGUUGGGUCAGUGGGAUAAAGCUGGUGGUUUAAUUCUCCCAGCUUUAUGAAGUGGGUAGUGUAAAAUUACAGAUGAAGCAGUAGUUCAGGUAGUGAAUUAAUAUUCCAUCACAUGCAUAGCCCUAAACAAGGAGCCUCAUAUGUACCUUUUUGGCUAUGUAAACUAUGGAAAGUCAUGUAUCGCUCUUAAGAUUUAGUGUCUUUGUGUAAUAGCAGAAGUAUUCAAAUAGAGAUUAGGCCAUUUGGGGAGGGAGUUAGGAUUAGAGACUUACUAAGAAUAUAUGUCGAAAUUUGGCACAAAGGGGCCAUUCUUCAGCAUGUUAAAUGUUGCUGAUGAAUGUAGCACAGUGAGCUAUAAGAAGGAGUUUAAAGGACACAGUGAUGCCAGAUUGUUAAAAUUCUGAAAGUAUUGGAGGUGAUGGGAAAGUUUUCAUAUGGGAAGAAAUGUCAGUGUAGCAAAAUUAACAGCCCAGGAGGAGCUAGGAAUUCUUCCUCUUGAUCAGCACUGAAUGUUUGCAAAUACCUCAUUUUCCAGAAAUCUUAAAGGUGUUCACCUAGGACUCACUCUUAAAACAUUGUUUUAGCCUCUCUGUAAACUUCAUUUCUUUAGUAUUCCAUAUUCUGUAAAAUCUAGCCUCCUAAUAUAGGAAAUUCAACAAAUAUGUUGUAAAAGCAUAAUUGCUAGAGGGAAAAGACGGAGGGAAAUAGGAAAGGCGUGUGUAUGCACUGUGAGUGGAGGACAUAAUUUCAGAUAGAGCUGGCUGAGACUAACUACAGAAGACCUGAAAGGGCUGCAGAGGGUAACAUAGUUGUUACAGUCAACCUUUGAGUAACAUGGAUUUGAACUUCAUGGGUACCCUUAUUCACAGGUAUUUUCAGUAGUAAAUACAUUACUACAUGGUUGGUUGAAUUUGUGGAUGCAGAGGGCCAUCUAUAAAUUAUUCACAUUAACUCCUUUAUUAUACAAAGGUCAACUGUACAUAUUUUGAUGAAGAGGAUUUCAGGUAGAGGGAAAGCAAGUGCAAAGGCCCUGGGGAGGAAAGCAAAGUGAAGCUGCAGAGAACUGGCCUUAAGUUUGUGUGCAGGGCUAGGGUGGAUAUUUGAGACCAUUCUAAGAUGGCAGCUUGCUUUCUGGCCUGUCAGACCUCGGAAUGCUAUCACUUAACCUGCAAUGCCCCCUGCCAUCCAUAUACUUUCCCACGUUUCUAUUAAGUGCUAUCUUCCCUCCCCAGUGCUCUUAUUCUGGAUUUCUAUAGCACCUUGUAAUGCCCUUAUACUUGGAAGCACAUUUUGUAGUUUCUUGUGAGCUUGCCUACCUGCCCCUGCCAAUAAAACCCAUCUUGGUUUCUACCAUAUUCCUGGGGUCUGACUAAAUACCUGGCAUAUUUUAAGUUCUCAAAUACUUAGCCUUAAAACCAUGGUGACUAUAGUACAAGCAGCAGUAUCGUUUAUAAUACUAUUGCUGGUUGUGUGGAAUUGUCUUAUAAAUCACACUGAGGUAAGUGGCUUACUUAGGAGUGGGGCCUAGAUUCAGAUCCCCAUCCUAAAUGAUCUCUGACCAGUUCUUAACUUCAAUUUCUUUAUCUUUGGUGGUGGUUUAGUCGCUAAGUCGAGCCUAACUCUUAAGUUGAUGAUAGUUACUGGAGUUUAUACACAGUACAUCUAACUUCCUGGUAAGCAGUAGGUACUUAG